UCAGAUUUUUUUUCUUCACUGCCGUUUAUUUUCUCUGUCUUGCAGCAAACAGAAGUGAUGGCUGAGGAAAUUUACGACUUGUGCAUUGUUGGUGCUGGUUUGUUUGGAUCCGCCGCCGCUAGACAUGCUUCAGCGAAUGCAGCUUUGAAAGUUUGUUUGAUAGGACCUGACGAACCAAAGGCAGAAGAAAGACAGCAGCGUGACAUCUUUUCAUCGUAUUAUGACGAAGGAAGAAUAACACGAAUUCUUGAUGACGAUCCCGCUUGUCAAAUGUUGUCAAAGCAUUCUAUCAGAAGAUAUCAAGAGUUAGAAGAAUUAUCUGGUAUACAUUUCUAUUACCCCGUUGGAUUUCUGUACAUUGGUCCAAGAAAGAGUUCAAUCAUGAACAAAAUGGUGCAGGUGGCAGCCACAUGUGAUGUGCCUAUUGUUGACCUUCACCGUGAAGAAAUAUUUCAAAUGAGAUAUCCGUUUCUGAAACUCCAGAAGAAUGAGUACGCACUGCUGGACGACAGUGGGGCUGGACAUAUCAGCCCUAGAAAAAUGGUGGCUGCUCAGAAGAAAGUGGCAAAGCUGCAAGGUUGUCGUAUAAUUCAUGAGGUAGUUGAAGAAGUGGGAGAAUUGAAGAAUGGUGUGCAUCAGAUUCUAACUGAAAACGGAAAUCGUGUGCAAGCGAAAAGGGUAUUAUUCUGUACUGGAGCAUUCACCAAUUUCAAGAAAUUUGCAGCAUUAGAACAACUGAAUAUCAGAGUAAAUAAAGAAACAGUAGCAUUCCUUAAAAUCUCUACGCUAGAAGCAAAACGAAUAAGCUCCAUGCCUAGUAUUGUCUGCCUCAGAGAUAAGGAAAAGGAUAGAGAAGCUUUAGGAGCGUAUAUUUUGCCUCCUGUCCAAUAUCCAGACGGAAAUUACUAUCUUAAGAUUGGCCAUAUCGGCGGUGGGGACUGGGAAGUAAAAUCUCUGCCUGAAAUCAAACAGUGGUACCUCUCAAAGGGGGACGAGCGAGUAAUAGAUGUUUACUCAAAACUGCUUAUGGAAAUGCUUCCAGUAAACAGAAGUGAUGGCUGAGGAAAUUUACGACUUGUGCAUUAUUGGUGCUGGUUUGUUUGGAUCCGCCGCCGCUAGACAUGCUUCAGCGAAUGCAGCUUUGAAAGUUUGUUUGAUAGGACCUGACGAACCAAAGUCAGAAGAAAGACAGCAGCGUGACAUCUUUUCAUCACAUUAUGACGAAGGAAGAAUAACCCAAAUUCUUGGUGACGAUCCCGCUUGCCAAAUAUUGUCAAAGCAUUCUAUCAGACGAUAUCAAGAGUUAGAAGAA